rnacentral:misc_RNA from 1 species
UAUUAGCAAAAUAGUCCCUACAUCUAAAUUUUUAUAUUAACAUAAAUAAUUACUUGAAUGUAGGACUAAAUUGCUUGCUAAUAAAACAAAACUUCAGGACUAAAUUGUUUCAAGUUGAAAAGCAACUAAUUUUUUAACAGAAUUUAAGGACCAAAUUUAUUAAAAAACAAACCAUUAACUAAUCUAUGGUUUCUGCUAUACCUCAGGUAUUUAGUUUAAAUUACCCUUGAAAAUAAUGGUAUUAUGCUGCAUGGAG